ensembl:lncRNA
UUUUCACCUGGUGUUACUGGUAGCUGUUGCAUGGGGCUUGAAAGCUGGAGGAAUCAAAGGUGGGCUCAGGAUGUCUCACAGGUGGUUAUCAGUCUUCUUCCUCUGAAAAUGAAUUUUUUUUUACAAUGCCUGCUCCAGGCCAAGCUGUCAGGCUCUUCUGAUUUCUGCCGACCUUUUGUCUGCCAACACCCAAAGUCAGAAACGAGUGACCAGGUGACAGAAUUAACUUAAAAGAAGAUUCUCAUUCUUCCUUCUUUGGAUGUUGCUGCGUGAUGGCUACACAACCAUACCACUUCCCAUACUGGAAUUUUUUUGGAAGUCCCGUGGUCUCUGUCCCAUCAUAGUAAUAAACCCAAUGUCUGUGUAGUCAGCCUGAUGUGCUCAGCUCCAGGGCACAGCACCCGUGCUGCUGAAGGAGUCACCUGCUGCAUGGAGCUGACCUCGAUCCCUAGAUGGAGCCUGCCAGGGGAGGAAGCAGGCCUGGAACAGAGAUGCACAAAGGUACUGCCUUGUGACAGCUUCCUGGGGGUGCAGGAGAGCACUUUCACCUUCCUGGAGGUAGGGAGAAGGAUUAAGCAUUAAGCUGGACAAGACUAAGUGGCUGCAUGCAUGCACUAAUCAAAGCUUGUAAGCAGAAAGCCGUGGAGGCUGCCCAGGGAGAUGAGUCACCGUCCCUAUUGGUGUUCAAGAACCGUGGAGAUGUGGCACUGAGAGUCACAAUUAGUGGGCAUGGUGGGGUUGGACUGAUGGCUGGACUAGAUGAUCUUAGUGGUCUUUUCCAACCUUAAUGAUUCUAUGGCUUUGUGUUUCCGGAUCCUUUCUUUUUUGUUAGUAUUUGUGUACAGAAAUGCACGUGGAGCUGUGCAUCCAUCCAUAGUGAAAGGGAUUCUUCCC